rnacentral:rRNA from 1 species
UAGGGAAUCUUCGGCAAUGGACGAAAGUCUGACCGAGCAACGCCGCGUGAGUGAAGAAGGUUUUCGGAUCGUAAAACUCUGUUGUUAGAGAAGAACAAGGACGUUAGUAACUGAACGUCCCCUGACGGUAUCUAACCAGAAAGCCACGGCUAACUACGUGCCAGCAGCCGCGGUAAUACGUAGGUGGCAAGCGUUGUCCGGAUUUAUUGGGCGUAAAGCGAGCGCAGGCGGUUUCUUAAGUCUGAUGUGAAAGCCCCCGGCUCAACCGGGGAGGGUCAUUGGAAACUGGGAGACUUGAGUGCAGAAGAGGAGGGUGGAAUUCCAUGUGUAGCGGUGAGAUGCGUAGAUAUAUGGAGGAACACCAGUGGCGAAGGCGGCUCUCUGGUCUGUAACUGACGCUGGGGCUCGAAAGCGUGGGGAGCAAACAGG